rnacentral:rRNA from 1 species
CGUUUAUUUGAUAGUACCUCAUUACUUGGAUACCUGUGGUAAUUCUAGAGCUAAUACAUGCUAAAAACCUCGACUUCGGAAGGGGUGUAUUUAUUAGAUAAAAAACCAAUGCCCUCCGGGGCUCCGUGGUGAUUCAUAAUAACUCAACGAAUCGCAUGGCCUUGCGCCGGCGAUGGUUCAUUCAAAUUUCUGCCCUAUCAACUUUCGAUGGUAGGAUAGUGGCCUACCAUGGUUUCUACGGGUAACGGGGAAUUAGGGUUCUAUUCCGGAGAGGGAGCCUGAGAAACGGCUACCACAUCCAAGGAAGGCAGCAGGCGCGCAAAUUACCCAAUCCCGACACGGGGAGGUAGUGACAAUAAAUACUGAUGGAGAGUUCUUUUGGAUUUUCUAGUCGGAAUGAGUACAAUUUAAAUCCCUUAACGAGGAACAAUUGGAGGGCAAGUCUGGUGCCAGCAGCCGCGGUAAUACCAGCUCCAAUAGCGUAUAUUAAAGUUGUUGCAGUUAAAAAGCUCGUAGUUGAAACUUGGGCCUGGCUGGCCGGUCCGCCUCACCGCGUGCACUGGUCCGGCCGGGCCUUUCCUUCUGGGGAGCCGCAUGCCCUUUGUUGGGUGUGCCGGGGAACCAGGACUUUUACUUUGAAAAAAUUAGAGUGUUCAAAGCAGGCCUAUGCUCGGAUACAUUAGCAUGAAAUAAUGAAAUAGGACGUGUGGUUCUAUUUUGUUGGUUUCUAGGACCGCCGU